CUAUCCUGAUUAUUUCAGGUUCGUCUUUUCAUGCUUGCAACAAACCGGAAGCAGCAUCAGGACCAGGCGGGAGAAAAGGAAAAAUAGAAAGGCAGAGAACAUGCAAGUAUUAAGAAGAGUGUCCGCCCUUAGUUUGCAAUAGAUGCAAAGUAGUUGACUGGAAGAUGGCCCACUGCCCAAGACUCAACAACAGCGGCCUGCCUCUGUACCACUUGUCCCGUUUCGGACCCCCCGCCUCUCUGCCGACAGUCCCUGAUGUUAUGGACUUGAACAGGGUGACCACCAUUAUCGGGCGGAACCCUCAGCAGGCGAACUAUGUUCUGGACUCGUCCAACCUGGUCCAGAAAGCUUACAUCUCCAGACUGCACGCACGCAUCAUCCGGGAGGGCAGCCAGCACAAGCUCUACGAUGACAGCUUGAAUGGGGUGUUCAUCAAUCACAUCAAGAUCACAGGUUUUGUUAUUCUAAAUGAGGGUGACCUGGUGACGUUCGGCCAUCCUAAUGGGAAGAACGUUCCAGGUGGAACCAGGAAGAGACAGUCGGAAUCAGAAUAUCAGUUUCUGUUCGGGAGAUGUGACUGUGGACUCUCGGAACUGACACCAGCUACCACACAACAUUGCUCCACACCAACAGCUAUCCCAGAAGUCCAAGUUCCUGUAAGGCCACUUGAGCGAAGGCCAGAUAUAGGGCAGGCAACUGGUGGUAGCCCUUCCCAAAGUCCUUCUCAGUCUGCAAUAAAGAAAGGCCACAUAAAAUCAGAAUCAGCCACCCUUCCAGCUUGUCAGCAAGCACCUGCUACCCAAUCGGACAAAGGGUGUGGAUCUUCACAAGGGGUAAUAACUGCUGUUGAUUCAGAACCAAAGUCAGAAUAUCCUGGUUCCAAGAGAUUGAGAGACAGUUCAGGGGACUUUGAUGAUGUAGUAGCUGUACCAAGUGGUGGAAGUAUUCAAAAUAGCCCAGAAGCAAAGCCUGAUGAAUCUUGUUCCUAUGGCAGUAAAAGUGUCACUAAAGAUGGAACCAACACAGAAGACGCUUUACCUGUCCACAUUGUGUGCCAAACUGAACAUGAUGAGGAAAGUGAUGAAGGCUUCACAGAUGAAGCUCCCAUUGUGGUCAUCGAUAUUUCAAGUGACUCCGAAGAGAAUGAUGAAUCCAUGAAAGAGGAGGACAAUAGUGUCUGUGUUAAGACAGAGCAGAAAGGCUGUGUUGAAAUUCAUGAUAGCGAUACAGAUGCUGCAAGCAAAUGUCUGCAAUCAAGUAGUUCAUGUAUGAGUGAUUGUGGUGAUGCUCAGCCCUUGACAAAAAGAUUGAAAAUUGAGCCUUCUGACAACGAAAGUACUGAUAAAACUUUAUCAACGAAUGCUCAAUUUUUUUGUGCCAAUUCAACUUCUCCUGUGUUUUCAACAUCUGCUCGGAAACGUAAAGUUGUCUCCCAUGGGAAUACCAGAUUAAAGAUACCGAAAAAACAAUGGACAUUUUCUGCCCCAAUUGAAGUUGCUUCUUCCAGUUACAAAGUGGUGGAGUCCUCCCAGGAGAGUUACCCAAGCAGUGAGAGUGAAGUAACAGAGCACAGUUUAUCUCUCUGUAGCUCUCCAGACCCUUCACUUGAAGCAUCAGAGGGUCUUUUAGAACCACAAGGGUCAUUUCAACACUCAGAAGAUGAUGUGGAUCAGUCAAAGAAGGACAUGACCCCUCGAGGUGUUCCAGAACCUUCACUGGAAGCAUCAGAGGGUCUUUUAGAACCACAAGGGUCAUUUCAACACUCCGAAGAUCCCUGUUAUGUGGAGCAGUCAAAGAAGGACAUGACACCUCGAGGUGUUCCAGAACCUUCACUUGAAGCAUCAGAGGGUCUUUUAGAACCACAAGGGUCAAUUCAACACUCACAAGAUACCUGUGAUGUUGAAAAGUCAAAGAAGGACAUGACACCUCCAGGUGCUCCAGACCCUUCACUUGAAGCAUCAGAUGGUCUUUUAGAACCACAAGGGUCAAUUCAACACUCAGAAGAUGAUGUGGAACAGUCAAAGAAGGACAUGACCCCUCUAGGUCAUCCUGAACCUCAAUCAACUUCUGUUGCAGCUUCCAAAGGACUUUCAGUUUCACCGUCUUAUGUACCUCCUGUUAAACUCUCAGAAAUGCCAAAAGAUAUUCCUGAUAUGGAUCAGUCUGUUGAAGAAGACACAAAAGAAACAGAUGUAACGCCUAUUUCUGAAAAGCCAAUGAUUGCUUCUGUUGUUGAUUCAGAACCCAUGCAAUCAACCUCAGCUGAAUCUGUAGAAACACCAGCAGAUGGUGGAGAGCAUUUAGUAGGACAGAGACAAGAAUCUCAUAAGUCCCAGGUGUCAGAAACCCAAACAGGUAGUUCUGUGCUGCCUGUGUCUUCACAUGCUGAUGGAGAAUCCACUGUUCUCCCCUCAACUGAAUCUUUAAAACCACCAAGGGAUGAUGGUGAUGUUUCAGAGGAAGGAGAAAGUCCUACACAUGAUACUGUACAGGAAGUAGUCCAACAGGAUGAUGGUUCAAGUCAACAUCCACCAUCAGAGCCAGACUGUGGUGACAUCCAAGGUACAGAGAUCAAUACACUGAAAGACCAAGCUGAUUCUGAAAGCUCUGUGAUUGGUAGUGGUGGAAUUACAGAUUCCAAAUACAUCUUUCAGGAAUCCAGAUCUUAUGACAUAGGUCAAGCAGAUAAUGAGUCAAACCAGGAUCAUGAUACCUCAAGUAAUGGUGUUGGUUCAGAAGGGAAUGACAAAAUGUCCAUUCAGGUGACAACUGAACCUGUCCUCAACUCUCUCCAGCAAGAACAAACCCUUUGUGCCAGCAGAGAUGUUUCAAAUCCUGUUCCUUCCGAUGAGGUUGACAGCAUAGGUCAGUCCUCACUAUCUUGUGAAGGAGACAUUAGUGGAAGUACAACUGGUGGUUUUGGAGGACAUGAACAAACUGGGGUAGAUGGAAGAGGUGUUCCUGAUCAAAAGGUAUCUCUUCCCAGUGUGUCUUCCUCUCCAGAAUGUUUGGAGAAAGGUGGUCAUGUCCCCGAGCAGCCUGAGUCAAGUGUGGUGUGUGAACAAGAUGCAGUGCCAAGUGCACUGUGUGUGCCAACAAAUUCUGUGUCAAAUGUGGUUUGUGAUCCGACAGAUUCUGUGCCAAAUAUAAUAUGUGAUCGAACAGAUGCUUCAGUUUGUGAACAAACUGAUACUGGGCUAAGCUUGAUGUGUGAACGUAGAAAUGGUUUUCCAAGGGUGGGGUGUGUGCAAUCAGAUGAUGUGAGUGAAAGGACAAAUUGUCUCUGUGUUGACUUGAAAACUGCUGUGCACAAAGAGGACGAGAGUGAUGUUGGAAUGAAUGCUUGUGAGUCGAGAUCCGUUCAUGGUUCUGGUGAACAUUCUGUGUUUGAAGAUUCCAAAGAAAAUUGUGCUAGAGUGGUCCCUGUCAUUAAAGAAAUCCAUACCAAGGGAGUUUUGUCUCAGGAUAAUGUUGAAACUCAGUGCAGAAACAGAGGUCCUGACAUUGUAGACUCCUUGGACCAAAUCACACCCAUCACAAGACAGUUAAGUAUUCCUAGGGAAAACAGUCCCAUUCUGGUGGAAGACCAACUGUUAUCCUCAGUAGAAAGUCAGCCUAUCCCGAAGGAGGAGGUAUUCCUUGUUGCUGCAACUGAAGAAAUUAAGGAAAGGAUUUGUUUGGAGAAAGAGGAGUUGAGCAAAUCCACAACAGUCACAGAUGGGCAGGGCAGACACUCUAAAGACAAUGUUUCUCCUCUCACUGAUGUAGAUACCGAUGUGGUCAUAAAUCCCAGUCACAUUACAUAUACACAUCCUAGUCAGAGUGGGUAUUCAAAAUCAGAUGUGCCAUCAGAAAACAGUUAUUUGAAAGCUCAAAUAGCUGUGGAGGGUACUGGCAAAGAAGUGAAGAGGGAGGCUCUAAAAGUGCAUAGUGAGUCUUCUGACUCUGAUGAUAUGGUUAUGUCGUUCUCACCUUGUAAGGUAGUUACAGUGGAGUCUUCUGGAGGUGAAGAGGUUCUGAAGGAAAUGCCUGGAAAGGUAGUGACGAUAAUUGAGUCAACUGAAGAUGAAGAUGCUGCUGUGAAUCAUUCUUCAGGGACGGUAGUGACCACAAUUGAUGAAGAUGAAGAUUUAGCUUUUAUUGACUGUCCAGAGAAUGUAGUGACAAAAAUUGAGUCAACUCACGAUGACGAUUUAGCUUUGAACUCACCUGGGAAGACAGUGAUGACAAUUGAGUCCACUCAAGAUGAAGAUGUUGCUCUGAAUCAAUCACCAGGGAUGGUAGUGACCACAAUUAAGCCCACAGAAAAUGAUGAUUUGAUUGUGAUUGACUCGCCUGAGAAGGUGAUUACAGUGGAGUCGACUGAAGAUGAAGAUGUUGCUCUGAAGGCCUCACCUGGGAAGGUAGUGAUGACAAUUGAGUCCACUCAAGAUGAAGAUGUUGUUCUGAAGGAAUUGCCUGGGAAUAAAGUGACAAAAAUUGAGUCCACUCAAGGUGAAGAUUUAGCUGUAAUUGGCUCGCCAGGGAAGGUGAUUAUAGUGGACUCGACAGAAGAUGAAGAGGUUGUGAAAGACUCACCUGAGAAGGUGAUUACAGUGGACUCGACAGGCGAUGAAGAGAUUGUUCUGAAGGAAUUGCCUGGGAAGGCAGUGACGAUAAUUGAGUCCACUGAGGAUGGAGAUGCUGCCCUGAAUCAUUCACCAGGGAUGGAAGUGACCACAAUGGAAUCCACUGAAGAUGAAGAUUUGGCUGUGCAGGACAGGCCUGAGAGGCUGGUGACAAAAGUUGACACAGCUAAUGAUUUACCUUCGAUGAACUUGCCUGGAAAGAUAGUGACGAUAAUUGAGUCAACUAAAGAUGAAGAUGCUGCUCUGAAUCAUUCGUCAGGGACAGUAGUGACCACAAUGGAAUCCAUUGAAGAUGAAGAUUUAGCUUUUAUUGACUCUCCAGAGAAUGUAGUGACAAAAAUUGAGUCAACUCAAGAUGAAGAUUUAGCUUUGAACUCACCUGGGAAGACAGUGAUGACAAUUGAGUCCACUCAAGAUGAAGAUGUUGCUCUGAAUCAAUCACCAGGGAUGGUAGUGACCACAAUUAAGCCCACAGAAAAUGAUGAUUUGAUUGUGAUUGACUCGCCUGGGAAGGUGAUUACAGUGGAGUCGACUGAAGAUGAAGAUGUUGCUCUGAAGGCCUCACCUGGGAAGGUAGUGAUGACAAUUGAGUCCACUCAAGAUGAAGAUGUUGUUCUGAAGGAAUUGCCUGGGAAUAAAGUGACAAAAAUUGAGUCCACUCAAGGUGAAGAUUUAGCUGUGAUUGGCUCGCCAGGGAAGGUGAUUAUAGUGGACUCGACAGAAGAUGAAGAGGUUGUGAAAGACUCACCUGGGAAUGUAGUGAAAAAAAUGGAGCCAACUCAAGAUGAAGAUUUGGCUUUGAUGAAUUUGCCUGGGAAGGAAGUGAUGACAAUUGAGUCCACUGAAGAUGAAGAUUUGGCUGUGAUUGACUCACCUGAGAAGGUGAUUACAGUGGACUCGACAGGCGAUGAAGAGAUUGUUCUGAAGGAAUUGCCUGGGAAGGAAGUGAUGACAAUUGAGUCCACUGAAGAUGAAGAUUUGGCUGUGAUUGACUCACCUGAGAAGGUGAUUACAGUGGACUCGACAGGUGAUGAAGAGAUUGUUCUGAAGGAAUUGCCUGGGAAGGCAGUGACGAUAAUUGAGUCCACUGAGGAUGAAGAUGCUGCUCUGAAUCAUUCACCAGGGAUGGAAGUGACCACAAUGGAAUCCACUGAAGAUGAAGAUUUAGCUGUGCAGGACAGGCCUGAGAGGCUGGUGACAAAAGUUGACACAGCUAAUGAUUUACCUUCGAUGAACUUGCCUGGAAAGGUAGUGACAACAAUUGAGUUGACUGAAGAUUCAGCUGUUGUCAUGGGUUCACCUGGGAAGAUGGCCACAGCAGUGGUUUCCACUGAGGAUGAAGAUGUUGUUGAGGACUCAUCUGGGAAGGUGAUUACAGUAGAGUCCACUGAAGAUAAAGAUUUAGCUGUGAUGAACUCACCUGGGAAGGAAGUGACAACAGUGGACUCCAAUUUACAAGCAUCACGCCUACAGCCAAGUAAAUGCGGGAUACAUCUUGAGACUACAUGUGACAAGAAUAGUGACUUUGAAAAAGAUAUGUGUUUAUUAAGUGACAACAUGAAGGAAAAACCAAAAGAAGAUUUAUUUCAUGAAAAUAUGGAUGCUGAUGUCUCUCAAAUUGAAAAUGUAAUUGCCCACCAAUUUGAUACUGAGCAGCAACAUUCUGCUGAUGAAGACAGGAAACAUGUGAAGAGCAGCCAAGAGCCCCAUGAUGCUGAUGUUCAAGAAGUAGUUACUCAAGGUAUUAGAGUCCGAGACAAUGACAACUGUGCCCUAGAGAACAUUGUAGCAGGCUGUAGCACCACUGUGCUUGAACAUAAUGUUGAGGGCACACAUAUGACAGACGGAAUGAAUACUGCUUUGGAAGAGAAGACGGGCUCUCAAGAAAGUGGUAGCCUCAGUGCAGCCUCAGUGAAUCAUAUUUCAGAUUCAGCCAAAGGUACAGGAUGUGAAGAAGUGAAAGAUGUUGCACACGCUGAAAUGAUUCAAAGGAGCAAUGGUAUGGAACCAUCAAAAUCAGAUGGUGGCCACAUCCUGAAGGUGGAUGUUGAUACUAUUGAGGAUGAGGAUGAAUUGUCUCCUGUCAUUCCUCAUCAAGAACCUUUUAAGAGUCCCAAGAAAAGUGAACCGAAACAAGAAGACUCUGCUCCAUCUGAACUUGAGUUCUUCCCAGAGUCUCAACCAGAUUUCCAUCUCUACCUCAGUCAGGCAGAAGAGUCGGCUGCAAUGAUGCCUGAUAACUCUGAAAGUCAUGGUGACAGUGAUACAUCUCUGAGUUUGUAUGAUGAGGUGACGGGCCAAGAUCGAGAAAGUCAAGGUGACAAUGAGGCAGAGGAGACAACGAUUGAAGGCCAAGGUGACAGGCAGACAGAUGUUACUACAAGUGAAAAUCCUCAAUGUCAAGGUGACAUGCAGACAGAUGUGACUGCUAGGAAAGACUCUGAAGGUCAAGGUGGCAAUGAGGCUGAUGUGACUGCUAGUGAACAUCAAGGUCAAGGUGACAAUACAGCUGAUGAGACUACUAAUGAACAUCCUCAAGGUCAAGCUGACAAUGAAGCAGAUGUGACAACAUUUGAUGACACUGAAGGUCAAGCUGACAAUGAGGCUGAUGUGACAAUGAGUGAAGGUCCUGAAGGUCAAGCUGACAAUGAGGCUGAUGUGACAAUGAGUGAAGGUCCUGAAGGUCAAGCUGACAAUGAGGCUGAUGUCACCGUGAGUGAAGACCCUGAAGGUCAAGCUGACAAUGAGGCUGAUGUCACCGUGAGUGAAGACCCUGAAGGUCAAGCUGACAAUGAGGCUGAUGUCACCGUGAGUGAAGACCCUGAAGGUCAAGCUGACAAUGAUAUUAAGUCAGAUGUGACAACAUUUGAGGACACUGAAGGUCAAGCUGACAAUUAUAUUCAGACAGAUAUGACAACAUUUGGAAACCCUGAAAGUCAAAGCAACAAUGAGGCAGCUAUUAAAGCAUUGGGAGCCCCUGAAGGUCAAGAUGACAAAUGUGCAACUGUGAUAAAGCCAAAUGUGAAGGUUAAAAAUCAAAGUGAUGAAGAGGUCACAUCUAUGUUGCCAAAUGAGCCAGAAGUGGACACUGAAGGUCAUGGUGACUAUGAGGCUGCUUCUGUCUUGUCAUAUGAGACACAAGUGGAGGAUGCUAUAGGUCAUGGUGGCAUUGAGGCCAGUUUUGUUUUGUCAAAUGAGCCAGUAGCUGAGAACCCUGAAGGUCAUGGUGACAAUGACACAACUGUGAUUAAGCCAGACAUGGCAAUAGUUGUGGGCCUUGAAGGUAGAGAUGACUUUGGAUCUUGUGGUCGUCCUCGUUCAGAUGUUUUUCAGACAGAGCAAGGAGAACAAACUGCAUCAGAACCAUCUGAGACACGUGGGGAAAACUCAGCUCAAGAAACGGACGUACUUUCUCUGAAAGUAACUAUGAAUGAUGAAACAGACAGGAGAACCCUAAAGGAAGAGGGUCCAGUGUCACAAAACAGAAGCGUAUCUCAACAAAAUGAAGCUUUUGGAUACAAGUCAAAAAUGGAGGUGGAUAAUUCUACUCACAGUGUUGCCAUGAACAAAGGAUCACUUGUCACUGCAGGAAGCAGUUUGCUAAGUCAUGGUGACAAUCACAUACCAAUCAUUGAUAAAAUGUUUACUGUUGCAUGCAGUAAAUGCUCAUUUGAAAAAUCACCAUUGUUUGGAACAAGAAGAUUGCAAAGUGAAAGUAGUGACUGUAUGACUUGUGCAAAGCACAUUUCUGUGCCAUUAGGGCAAGCUGCAAAAUCUGAUGUGGAUAAAACCAAACUCCAUGAUGAAAACAAGCAUGGCAAUUGCAUUAGUAAGCAGAUUAUCCAAAAAGACAAAGAUCAAGAAGAAACAUUUGAAUUCAGUUUGUUGGGGACGGACUUCUCAGCAUCAACACCAAAAAGUUCAUCAGUUUCGGAUUCGUUAAUCGUGAACUGUGAUGGCCUGUCAUACCAGGACAUCUCAUACUCAGUAGAACCUGGCCUCAGCACCACCACAGAUGUUGAAGAGACUUCAGAGACUGAACAGGAUCCUGAAGGAUCUUGUCAAGCUGGAGCUGAUGUGGAAUUACAAGAUAGCAGUGAGUGUCAUGCAGCAGCUUCUGAUGGUGUUUUGCUGACUGAGAGUAAGGACUUUAACAAGAGCAGCCAUAUCAGUAAUAGGAAGGAGAUGAUGAGAUCAUGCCGGUUGUCAGAUGAGACUGAGCUGCACCUUCAGUUGUCUGGUAUUGAGAGUCAGACAAGCAAUGUGGAAUCAUGCUCAGGACUUACCAUCUCUCAACCAGAACUAACACCUUCACCAACAGGAACCCAUGAUGCUGACGAUGUGAAUGAAACUGUUGCAGAGGGUGACAAUGAUGUAGCCAGACCAGCAGCGAGCCCACACAAGCUUGCUUCAGAAGAGGAAACACUGAUCUCUGAUGAAGAUCUUCACUUGGUGAUGACUACAUCAGAUGAAAGUCAGCUUCACAAUGAUUCUGCUCUGUCAGCAGAAAGUACUGAAGUUUUCUUUGUGAGUCCUGUUAUAAAAUUCAAGGCAUCAAAGGAAACUGAGAGUUCAACAAUGCUUGGAACAAUUUGUGAAGGUGAACCCUUGUGUUCUUCCUCUACUGAACAGCGUUGGAUCCCCUCUGCUUCCGAGCUUGACAGUAGUCAACUGAACUUGUUGCAGGAAAUAUCCCAGUCUUCUUGCAAUAGCGACAAAGGUGAGCUCACUGCAGAAAGCAUUGCCCUUGAGACAAUCACUGAUGAUAACAGUACAUGUACACAGGAAUCCAUGAUGAGUGGCAUUGCUCCUUUAGAGUUGAGUGUUGAUGCUGAAGAGUCUGAUGAAGAAACUGAAGAGGCAUCACAGGGAACGUCUUUCCAUCAUGAACAGAAAGUUGAGACAUCACUGACUUCUUCACUUCCUUCAGAAAGUCAUCAUGAGACUGUUUCAGGAAAUUUAACAGUAGGGAGACACAGUAAGGAAACAAAAGACCAACCUUGUGGCCAAGAAUAUGGAUUUGCUAAAUAUGGAGAUACAGGUGGUGCUGUGAAGAUUGUGAGGAAAGACAUAAGCUCUAGAUCUGACUCUGGGUGUGAUGACCAUACUACCAAGGAGCAACCUUCAACGAUCGGUCUUUACAGAUCGAUUUCUGAUUCAAAGCCCACCUUCAUAGCAGAACCACUGUUCAGAGUUGAUGACAGUAACACCAUCAUAUUUGAUGCAAUUGAGGAUAUACAAAGGUCAGAAAGGAAACCCAGUUUGGAUGAAGAUCAAAGCUUUCAUGAAAAAUCAAACAUGGGUGAGGUGUCCAGUAGUGUUGAUAUGGUUGAGCAAGAACAGGCUUGUCCUCUGUCCAGCUCUCCAAGUGCAGUAACUGAUGGUGAAGCUACUGAGAAAAGAGACAACAUGUCUGCCAUGGACCUCAAGAGUGCAGGUAAUAGAACAACUUUACUGCAGCCACAAUGUUCAGUAAGCGAGUCACAAAAGAGCUUAUCACGUGAGGUUCAUCAUAAUUCAGAUGAAGUACCAGAUUUGGAUUACUCCCCAGAUCCUCAGGAGCCAGGACAUGAGCAUGAUAAGGUGACAUCACGUUUGGUAGAUGACCGUCAUGCCACAGAAAUUUCAAAUAAGACUAAUGAAACGGAUAUCACUUUGGAGGUGAAUGAAUAUGGUGCUAUUUCAUCAAGAGCUGUGGGUAGUGAAAAGGUUAAAAUUGAUGAUGGGGUAGUUCUGACGAGGAUGAAGAUGAUGAAUUAUGUUGACAGUGUUCCUGAUUCGGAAGACAGUUUAGCAAUAACUGAUCUUCGGGAUGACAUGCCAAAGGAGCGUGAACAUUGUUCCUUGUCGCCAACUGAUAGCAGACAAAUGAGUGGGCUAAACAAGAUGACUACCUUCGACAAGAGCUGGGAUGAGCUUGAUGGGCUGUCUGAAGAACAUCUUCCGAACUGUAAUCUGGAUGCACAGGAUUCAAGCCCGUUCCCUGCUCCCAGACUUGACGAUACAAAUGUUGAAGCUGGAAAAAUGGAUGCCAGUGUUGAUGACUCUGAACUUGUUACUGAUGAUGUCAGAGGAGGUGGUGUUGCUGAAGGAACUUCACACCUACCUCAUGGUUCAUCACCAGAAGAACAAUGCAUGCCAAUCAUUGUGGAAUGUUGGUCUAAUGCUCCACACAGCAGAAAACGUAAAGCAUCAGAAGACAGAGCAGUUAAAAAGAGGUCUUGCCGUGCAAGUUUGUCUUUAAAAGCAUGUUUAGGGAGUAAAGUUGCAGAAUUUUUCUUGAUCAGAGAAAGAGUCAAAACUUUUAUGCCAUGUAAUCCAAUCAGUGACAAAGAGACAUCCAUGGCUUGUCAGAAUAGUGGUCAGGCUCAGGAGCAGAACAGCCUCCGUAAAGGGAAGCAAGGCCUCUGUGAUGACAAGCAAGGCCUUAGUGAUGAAAAGCAAGGCCUCAGUGAUGACAAACAAGGCCUCUGUGAUGUCAAGCAAGGCCCCAGUGAUGACAAACAAGGUGCUGAGCAACAACAUAUCAAAGAUGAUAAUCAUGAGUUUGGUGCUGAGCAACAUGGGCAUCAGGAAACAAGAAAUGAACAAAGCAUCAUAAUUGAUGGGGACAGUUCGAACAGAGAAUCAAAUCUCAUUAACGUCAAGCAGAAGAUGACUUCAACCUCUCAUGCAGUGUCCCAUGAUGUAGACGCAGCUGGAGAUGGUGAAACUGCAGUGGAUGUUGACAACAUCAAAGAGGAAGUUGAGGUAAUAGAAUCCCCUAUUCUAGAUCCUGCGAUAGAUGUACAUGAAGGAACAGUAGGGUCUGCAUCUGCCGGUGUGAUGGAGAAGAUUUGUGAGAGUGUUGAAGCAAAACAAGGCCCUCUUGGGGGAUUAGAACAUCCUUGCAUUAUUGUUGAUGGAGAUGAAGUUAUUGUCAUUACAGACUCAGAAGAUGAAGUAGAGACUGACAACAUCCUUCCCAUGGAAACAUCAAAGAGUGACCCUCCUGGUGGUGACAAGAUGUUUGAUCAGGAUGACGAUAUGCUUCUUGAGAAGACAUCAAAGAGUGACAUUACUGAAGGAAGCAAACAGAUGUACAAUCAGGAUGGCGAUGUUCUUCUGAAGGAUACCUCAAAUAGUGACACAUUUGACGGAAGUGAGAUGUUUGAUCAAGAUGGCGGGGUUCUUCUGAAAGAAACAUCAAAUAGUGACACUCUUGAAGGAAGAAAAGCAAUAUUUGAUCAAGAUGGCGAGGUUCUUCUGAAAGAGACAUCAGACAGUGACACGCUAGAAGGAAGCAGACAGACAUGUGAUCAGGAUGGUGAUGUACUUCUGAAAGAGACGUCAGAUAGUGACCCUACUGAGGGAGGUAAAGAGACGUACAAUCAGGAUGACGAUGUACUUCUUAAGGAAACACCAAAUAGUGACAUGCCUGAAGGAAGCAAAGAGAUAUUUGAAAAAGACAAGGCCAUCUCUCGAGAAGAAACAUCACAUAGUGACACAUCUGCAGAAAGUAAAAGUAUGUUUGAAAAGGAUGGAGAUAUGAAACUGGAAUGUGAUGAAGAAAGUUUUUGUACAGAUGAAGACAAACCAGAAACAGAAAGUGAAGAGACAUGUGAAGGGAGUUGGAAGGAUGACCUCGAGGAUGAGACCACAGAGACGAGCGCAGAUACCUCUGGAGACAGACUGAUAGACUCGGACGAUUUUGAGGCAUAUACUGAUGAAGACACCCCAGAACCUGUGCUGGAGAUGGAUGCAGACACAGAAGAGGACCCAGUGCAUCUAUCUGACACUACUGAAGACAUCCUGGACACAUCAGAUCAAAGGUUGUCCAAUUCAUCGCAGGAUGACAAAUUAAGACCAGUACCCGAACAUAGUACUCCGCCUGCCCGUCUACCCAGUCCUGGCUUAACUGAUGAGCACAGAUCGGGCAGUGAAUUGGUCCAGUCAGGGAAGUUGCCUGACACAGGUUCAGGGAAAGAAGCAGACACCGAGAGCACUCCCACUGAUGCAACAUUGAGUCUGAGCAGCUCCUUAAGUGUCCACACCCUUGAGAGUGACUAUGACAGUGAUAGUGAUGUGUACAUCACUGAGUGUAGGCUUGUGGUCAAAGAGCCUGCUGUGAAGACGGAGCAUGAGGAUGAGGAUGAUGAGUCAGACUGUGGGAAAGACGGGAGGCGUUCUUCCAAGAAACCAGACUCAAGCCUUGAUCGUGGAGAUGGGAUUCAGAAGGUGGACUGUUCAAAGAUGAAGUCUGGGAAAUCAGGAAAAGUGCAUAUGCAAAAGACUGAUGUUGCUGACAGCUUGUUUGAUAAGCAGUUGCUCAGUAAUUGUGCAGUUGUUCAUUUGAAUGACAGUUCAGGGUUUGACAUCAAAGAUCAAGAGGAUCCUGAAAUUGAUGCUGAUGAAGGCCUUAAAAUACCUCCCCAGAACAAGCAAGAGUCAGACAGUGGAAGCUGUCUAGCUGAUGACACUGUGGAUGCUGAGGAUGCACCUGAUGAGCCAGAAGAAGACCAACCAGCACUUGGGGCCUCUGCAACACCUGGGGCCUCUACAACACCUUGGUCCUCUACAACACCUUUUCUUUCUGCAACACCUGGGUCCUCUGCAACACCUGGAGGACCACCUGGGUCUUCUGCAACACCUGAGUCCUCUACAACACCUUUUCCUUCUGCAACACCUGGGUCCUCUGCAACACCAGGGUCCUCAGCAACACCUUUUUCUUCUGCAACACCUGCUUCCUCUGCAACACCUGGGUCCUCGGUAACACCUGCUUCCUCUGCAACACCUGGGUCCUCGGUAACACCUGCUUCCUCUACAACACCUGUGUCGAUUCCAGUACAUCUGGAGAUGGAUUUCUCAGAAGAUGUGGACAAUACCAGCAGCCCCGGGGUGGAUGUGCACAACAUCAUCGCUGGUUUGAUUGAGCAGGACAUCAGCGACACAGAUUCGGGCAGGAGAGACAGAUCAGCUUCCCUUGAUGAUAUUUUUGAUGAUACCUGGAACUACAACAGCAAUUUUGAACCAGAGACUGAUAAGACUGAUACUGCAGACAUCACCUUGGCUUUAGUUGAUUCUGAUGACAGAACAGCUUCAGCAUCAAAUUCUGACAAAAACAAUCAGGUUUUCUUAAUCAAUCCAACAGAAGAACUCAUAGAUAUGCGCUGUACAUCAGUGGGGAGAAUCACCCCGGAGGCUCGCAAGGAAGCUGAACGCGCCACAUCUGUCACCCCUGAGACGAAAGAAAAGAGACAGGAAAUGUCCGGGGCUGGUAAGUCCUCUAGUCAUGGUAGCUUUGAUGAAGAUGGAGAGCGGUCAUCAUCCACUACUGGCAUUGCGGCAUCAACUGAGGAUGAUGAUAAUGUUGAAGAUUUUCCAAUGCUGUCGACUCCGAAAAGGAGGAGGCUGAACAGACAGGAUAGUCAGGAAUCGCAUUCAGAACGGUCCUGUGUGGGAGAAGUCAUUUACAGCUCAGAUGAAGAUACUGAAAACUCAGUGGCCAUAUCAGAUCAAGAUCAACAAUUCGGCCACAUUGGGAAUACGAAAAGUGAUGGUGUAGAAGAUGAAGCUUGUGCCAGCGAGAACUCGCGUGAAACUGACAGCAUCAGUGAAGCCCAGCCUGGUGUGUCUCGAGUGAAUGCUGAGACCCUGAGUGAUCAAAGGAUGUUUAUGUCUAUGGAUGACCUGUCCAGCACCCAGCUGAGCCAGUUGGACAGAAGGCUGUCUGCUGCUCCUGAGGAAAAUCUAAAGAAUGUAAGGCGUAGAAGUUUAUUGGAUAAAAUUCGGGCCAAGCGUAAGAAUCGUCAGCAGUGCGAAAAGACAACACAAGACAAAGGUGAAAUCAAAGACAAUAAUCUCCUCAGUCCACAGAAUGAUGUCCACAGCGAAGUAUUGGAUUCAUUGAAUAAGGUGGAGGAUUACUUGGUUAGGGGCAAGAGGAUCCUGUCUAUACUGACCGAUGCAUUCAACACCUCACACCUCCACAGCAACCCGACAGUCCAAACAUGGCGGGAUGAUCUGCAGUUGUUACACAAGAGCGUACAGCUUCCCCCGACCGUCAUAGCUGUAGUGGGCGACACUGGAGCGGGGAAAUCGUCCCUGUUGAACGCCCUGCUCAAUCAGCCAUGUGUUCUCCCGACGUCCGGAGUACGAGCCUGCACAGCCGUGGUUGUGGAGAUCGUGGAAAAUACACGCAACCAAAACUACGAGGCCGACAUUCAUUUUCUCUCAAAGGAGGAGUGGCAUGAGGAGCUUGAGGUCCUCCUGAAGGAUCUGACCAAGAGAGACGGCAGCCUGCAGAAGGGACAACCUGACCCCACAUCAGAGGCGGGCGUGGCGUAUGCCAAGGUGCGAGCUGUGUACGGCAAAGUGAGCAAGAUGAAAGUCCUCCUCAAACAGACUCACAUCACACAAUGGCUCAACAGGGUGAAGAAAAUCAGUGUCCAAUCUGCCAGACAUCUCCGUGAAGCAGUCAACAGCUACAUUGAGAACACUGACAAUGGUUCAAGGGGCGAGCAGUUUUGGCCAAUAGUAAAGAGAGUGAAGCUGUACCUCCCGUCAUGUGAUGUUUGCAGUAGCGGUGCCGUCCUUGUCGACCUGCCCGGAGUACGCGACGCCAAUGCCGCUAGGGAUAAGAUAGCCAAAGAGUACUUGAAGAACUGUACCUCGGUGUGGGUAGUGGCCAGCAUCCACCGUGCGAUUGACGACCACACUGCCAAGGAUCUCCUCGGGGAGAACUUCCGCCGCCAACUGCUGAUGGAUGGCCAGUAUGGCAGUGUGGCUUUCAUAUGCACCAAGACGGACAGUCUGAUCCCAUCUGAGCUGAAGAAGCUGACUCCUAACUUUGAGACUCUGAAUGAUCAGCUGAAGGCAGUUAAGGAGGAGUUGAAUGUCCUUGAAUCCCGUAAGAUACGCCUAAAAAAAAAGCGCAAGGGGCAGGAGUCGGAGAUUGCUGCAAUGAAACGGGACUACCAGGGGUGGAAGAAGGAACUGGAUCAGGAGCCGCUAUCCUUGGACGAGGAGGAGGAAAGUGAUGCAAAGAAACAGAGUGUGGCUGAGGUGCAGCAGGAGUUGGAAAAUAUGGAUGUCGAUAUACAGCAGAAGGAAGCAGACGUGACAGAUCUCAUAGUCCAGGAGGGGGAGGUGGCUCAACAGAUAUCUGUGAAGACAGAACUAAGGGAUAUUCAUCAAAGGAAACUGGUUUCCAUGUGCGCAAAAGCACGGAAUGAAUAUUCCAAGAACCAGAUAAGGAAAGAUUUCCGAGCAGGAAUAAGGGAGCUGAAGCAGAAGUCUGCUAGUGUGUUCAUGGGGGAGGAGGAGGAAGACAUCCUGGACUAUGACGACGGGGACGGGGACGGUGUUGCCGACGAGGACAUGGGCAACGUUGUGGAUAACCUGAAGGUGUUCUGUGUCAGCUCGACCGACUACAUGAAGAUGACCAGUCUGCUGACUGAUGUGGAUGGGGCACCGCAGGUUUUCAGCACCCCCGAGGAGACCGAGAUCCCAGCAUUGAGGGAGUUCGUCCAUGCAACCUCGCUUCAGCGGCGGGAUCGGGGAGUGAGGCAGGUCGUGGAGAAACUUGGACAUUUUGUGUUGGAUCUGGAUAAUUAUCUCAAGAUGUCGGGACAUAAUGGGAAGGGAGGAGGCAAGGUUCAGCCUGUGGUGACGAAGCAUGUGACAGCCCUGCUGCAGAGGGUCGACCCAAUCGUGUCCCAGCUCCGUGAAGACAUCCUAGGGCUGUUCGACAGCCUCCUGAAUCCCUACAUAGAGGCUGGAUCCCAGAUGGCCUCUCAGCAGGCCCCAGCCACCAGUGACAGGUGGGGCAGCAAGGUGAACAAAGAAAACCGGCACCUUGGUGGACUGGCCUUCAUGACGUAUCGAGCAACGGUGUCGAGACAGGGCAGGUACAGCUCGCCAACAGCCGGAAUGGUGGACUUCAACAUCGAGCUGGCCGAGCCCCUCCUGGUCGCGGUCACCUUUUGCUGGAACAAGGUCUUUGGGUCUCUCUUCUGGAGCACACUGGAGAAGGUGAAGACAUCCAUGAGUGCCGCACUGGCAGCCUUUACUGAUGACAUCAAGAAGAACUUGACUCUCAUCGGCUUCGACAGACUUCAGAUAGAGGGCGUCAUUCAUCAGAUUCUUCGGAAUGCCACCGCUAAGCUGAACGAAAUGGUUGAGCUGAUGAAAGAUUAUGUAACAAGCCAACAGAGGGAGAUCUCAAGAAUUAUUACCCCUAAUAUACAGGCAGCCAUGUUGAAUGCCUAUGAGAAGGCGAGUAGAGAACAUGGUGCUGGAUGCUACAACCGGAUGAAGCAGAUGAUGGCCGGUCACAUCGACAGCAGUCGCCACGGCAUGUUUCAUAACACCGUGCAAGAGAUAAAGAAUAGACUGUCAAAACUACAGGUGAGCGUGGUGGAGAAAGUGAAGGGCGUGUUGGUGGCCCUGUGCCGGGGCUUCAAGGUGGCAUUCGAACCGCUGUGGCAGUCUCGAGACAGCUGUCUGGAUUUGAGACAGAACUUCUCAGCAGGUGUGUCCCAGUGCCUCAUCGAGCUCCAUCAGCUCUUCCAGGACUGUGGUCUCCAAUUCCCCGCUCUGACGCCAGACAGCGUGGCAGAACCUAACGUGGCCGAGGUUGCUGCUGCAGAGGAGACUGUGGACGAUGUGUUGGGAGCUCUUCGGCAUGAUGUGGAGGACAGUCUGAAACGCCUGGAGGAAGAACCUCAAGGACCAGGAGUGAAACAAGAACCAUUGCCAUCGAUUGUGUCGGAGUCACGUGAUGUGUUGAACUUUAACUAUGGGCAGGAAGAUACAAAGCUUACAGAGAUGCCCCCGUAUCACUCUCUCAUCAAGUCUGCGAGCACUCCAAACACAGCCAGGCCGGCCUCUGAGGAAAGGCAGGGGAAUCCCGAACUCAGACAAGCCUCUGCCUCUAACACACCAACAGGGGCCUCAGCUUGUAAGCUUCUGAACGAGAACCUCAGGGUCUCCAGUCUACAUUCUAUAAUCCAGACCUCUGCUUUUGGAAACAAGUUCAAAGGUGGUCAAGUUUGUGAACCCUCUCGUCCUCUUCCUGAUUCCUCCCAAGUCACUGCCUUGGUAAAUGCCAGUGGUGUCAGAGAAAGUCUUCCAAGUCACGUGCUCGGCAAACAUCCUUUACAACAGAUUGUCCGGCUGGACAAUAAUAGAAAAGUUAUGUUGGUGCUACCUCAGGUUACCAUGACGACAGAUGCUGUGAGUGGACCUGUGAUGGCCCCAGUGAAUGUGCCGACUAUGAACAGUGAUGCUGUACCAAAGCACUACUACAAACUGUGUCUGAAUGCGAACAAUUUGAAAAGACCUGCAUCCAUCAGUCGAGCUGUAGCUGCUCCUGGAGCCGUUCCUAUCAAGCAGGAACCAUGUGACAGGGCACAGAAGAAACGCAGAAUCCAAGCAAAAAGAUAAUUUUUUCCUCUUGCAAAGGUGACCUGUAUUGACAAAACUGAUAAAGAUUGUCAGUUGAUGAAGUAUUGGACUUAACAGGAGAUUCUGACACUGAUGCCGGCAUGGACAACCACUCCACCAGCAGCAGCGACAGCAGCGACACUGAUCUGCCUUCGUUUCUGUGAUAAGAAAU
rnacentral:misc_RNA from 1 species